AAAUCUCCUUUCCGAACCCUCCUCUCUCUGCCCAAUUCACUUCUCUAUACCUCCUCUCUGCAUCGCGCACACCACCGUUACUCCGGCGUCGGCAGAACAAUUGUCCACGGACAACGACUAGUCAUAUAGAAACUCUCUUCCCCUAUGAUUUCUCUUGGCAUGAGUUACUUAUUUCCCCCUCUCUCUGCCCCUAAUUUUCUAGAAUCUCCUCAGCCACUUGCUUCUUCUGCUGCCUCUCUUCAGGUAUGGACACCAUCUCUCUGACCCUAAUUUUCUAGAAUCUCUAGAAUCUCCUCAGCCAUUUCCCUCUUCUAUUGCCUCUCUUUAGGUAUGAAUGCCAGUUUCUUUGAAUUUUUUAGUUUUGAGUUUUGGGUUUGCCAUAUUUUGAUCUGGCACUUACAAAUGAACCCUGAUUCUGUUAUCUUUCUCACACACAUGAGAAAUUCAUUGUUUGUUAAAAAAUGACGGUGAGAUUUCUGUUCCAGAAUCAGGAAAAUAUGCUACUUCUCUGAAUGCAUGAUAAAAUACGGGAAUUGGCCUUGCCGAAAAGAGGGAAACUCCUUGUCUUCUUAAAGUUUUGUUCUUGAUACCACACAUGUUGAUUCUAUAUAGAAAGUUGAUAAGUAAUAUGUGCUUAUUCCUUCAUGUCUAACCUUGAGUCUGUUGCUUGGCAUUAUGUUGAAAGCUGAAUAUAUGCUACUAAUUUUGACAGAAGAUGUAAGGCUAUGUGGUUUUAUGUUGGGGCUUUACCUUGGAUAUUUGCCCCGUUUAUGAUUGCUUUCAUUAUGAUGGUUUGGAUUAAUAAGCAAAAAAAUAAUCUUGUUUUUAUACUGUUAUGUUUUUAUGUUUUCGAUUGUGAUGUUCAUUGAAAUUAAGGGCAGAGGUUUAGACUAUUUUGAGUCUGGAGACUAAUUUGGUCUCAACCUCUCCCAAAAUUAAGUCUUUUGCUAUGUUUUUCUUUUGUAAAAUCAAUUAUCUAGCUGCUUCAAUUUUUUUUGUACUUUUUAAAUGAUUAUAGUGUUCUACACUUGAAAAUCAUAUGUACAUUGCUUGUUCUCUAGUGGGAUCCUUUUUGUUUUCUCAAUUAACUUAAAUGAGAGGAUUUCUUUGCUAAUCAGCAAUUUUAGAAGAGUAUGUUCGUUAAGUAACAUUCUUGGAGAAGUUUUUGGUUAAUUUUGAGUCUCCAGGAUUAUGAGAAACUGAUGGGUCUUCUUAGGGAUUUGGUUAGCAGCAGGCCAUGGUAUUGGCAUAGAUUAGGAAAAUUAACUGUUUUGUACUAUUUUUGCUGUUUUUUUAAAUUUUAUGGUGUCUAACAGAGUUUGUUUUAUGUUUUGCCUUAGGUUUCAGUUUGAAAUACUUGCUUAAGAGGCUAUAUUCUGUCAAGAGGUAUGGAUAGCUAAAAAUCUUGCUUUUUGGUUAAGAGGUAUAUUUGCUUCAAAAUAUUGUUAUCAUUAUCCACAUGAAACUGUUUGCUACUAUCUAUUUGUAUUCUCAUGGCUAUGAAAUUUCAGUUUGCAAUGAAUGGCUAUAUCAAUCUAAAAGGUUAGUUUUGUGUAGAAAUUGAAUGCAAGUAAAUUGUAUUGUAUACCUCUGUGGUGUCUCUAUAGUUGACUAGUCUGUGUUGCAUAUCUAUACUAAGGCCAGCUCCAUGAACAAACUGUGUUCUGGAUUGGGCCCUAAUUUGGGGCCAUAUCUAUUAAAAGUUUAAUUUGAACUUAUUCAGUGGUCCAAAUAAAUAUCUAAUUCAGGGACCAAAUUAGUUUAACUCAAAUAAAAUGGAAAAACAACUGAAAGGUAGAGUAGCUCAGCAACAUCAUUUCUCAGUGUUCAUUCCAACCUCAAAUUACCUUUUUAUACAACUUCAGUCCUCAUUCAACAUGAUUUAUUUUGACACAUAGAUUGAGGAUUUACUGGUUCAAACUUGAAAGUAUCUAUGCAUAUUGUAUCCCCAUUAUAAAAAUAUUUUUUUAUGUAGCAAUGUUUUAAUUCUAAUUAAGUCUGUUGUUGUUCAAGAGAGUUUUUUUGAUGUUGAUCCUAUGAGCAUGUGUUAAUUUGCUUGGCUGAGUAUGAUGGAGGAGAUAAAAUAAGAGUUCUCCUGUGUUGUGAUGAAUUUCAUAUGGAAUGCAUUGACAAAUGGCUAAAAGAAAAGCAAGGGUACAUUCAUUACUUCUGUGAUACUUAUCCUAGUUUACCAAGUGCUUGCUUUUGAUGAAUUAUAUUCCUAUAUAUGACGAUAUCUUAUAUUCUCCAUAUGCUAGAGUCUUCAGAUUAGCUGACAUGAAUUAAUUUUCCAAUUUCAUUGCCUGAUUUUUUUUUCUUCCAGCUAUUUGCAUUAGACUUGAAAUUUCCCUAAGAAACUCCUUGAUCAGCCUGUGUCAAUAAUUCUUUCAUUGAUUAUAUAUUGUUCUCUCAUUUUUCUGAAGUUAACUUGAUUGAGUUGUCAUGCACUGCCUGAAAUUUUGGAUACCAUGUGAGUUUUAAGUUGCAAAUGAAAUUGAGACGAAAAACAAUGAACUCUAUUUUUAUAAGAAAAUUAGUCUGCUUUGAGUUUAAGUUUGUUUUUUCUUGAUACAUAAGUAGGAGAUUUUAAAUUGGGCUUGUUUGUGCUUUUGUGCAUCUGCAUAUAUAGCAAUAAAAGGAAAGUGAUGGUUCCAAUAGAGCAGAUCAAA
rnacentral:lncRNA from 1 species